UGAGUAGUACGUACGCAAGUAUGAAACUUAAAGGAAUUGACGGGAUCCCGCACAAGCGGUGGAUCAUGUUGUUUAAUUCGAAGAUACACGAAAAACCUUACCAGGUCUUGACAUUAUCCUGCGAAGCUAUAGAAAUAUAGGGGAGGUUAUCAGGAUAACAGGUGGUGCAUGGUUGUCGUCAGCUCGUGUCGUGAGAUGUUAGGUUAAGUCCUAAAACGAGCGCAACCCUUGUCGUUAGUUACCAGCACGUUAUGGUGGGGACUUUAGCGAGACUGCCAAUGAAAAAAUUGGAGGAAGGUGAGGAUUACGUCAAAUCAUCAUGCCCCUUAUGAUCUGGGCUACAAACGUGAUACAAUGGCUAUUACAAAGAGCAGCUGAAACGUGGUUGUUAGCUAAUCUCAAAAAAAUAGUCUCAGUUCGGAUUGAAGUCUGCAACUCGACUUCAUGAAGUUGGAAUCGCUAGUAAUCGCGAAUCAGCAUGUCGCGGUGAAUACGUUCUCGGGGUUUGUACACACCGCCCGUCAAACCAUGAAAGUUGACAAUACCCAAAACCAGUCGCUUAACUACUUCGGUAGAGGGAGCUGUCUAAGGUAGGGUCGAUGAUUGGGGUUAAGUCGUAACAAGGUAUCCCUACCGGAAGGUGGGGAUGGAUCACCUCCUUUCUAAGGAAAUGUCGUAUCAUGAUCAUCUUCAGUUUUGAAAGACUUAGAGUAGAUAAGUUUUUCUUUUGGCGUAGAGGAAGGGCCUAUAGCUCAGUUGGUAGAGCACACGCGAUAAGCGUGC
rnacentral:rRNA from 1 species